rnacentral:rRNA from 1 species
AGAGUUUGAUCAUGGCUCAGAGCGAACGCUGGCGGCAGGCUUAACACAUGCAAGUCGAGCGGGCGUAGCAAUACGUCAGCGGCAGACGGGUGAGUAACGCGUGGGAACAUACCUUUUGGUUCGGAACAACACAGGGAAACUUGUGCUAAUACCGGAUAAGCCCUUACGGGGAAAGAUUUAUCGCCGAAAGAUUGGCCCGCGUCUGAUUAGCUAGUUGGUGAGGUAACGGCUCACCAAGGCGACGAUCAGUAGCUGGUCUGAGAGGAUGAUCAGCCACAUUGGGACUGAGACACGGCCCAAACUCCUACGGGAGGCAGCAGUGGGGAAUAUUGGACAAUGGGCGCAAGCCUGAUCCAGCCAUGCCGCGUGAGUGAUGAAGGCCCUAGGGUUGUAAAGCUCUUUUGUGCGGGAAGAUAAUGACGGUACCGCAAGAAUAAGCCCCGGCUAACUUCGUGCCAGCAGCCGCGGUAAUACGAAGGGGGCUAGCGUUGCUCGGAAUCACUGGGCGUAAAGGGUGCGUAGGCGGGUUUUUAAGUCAGAGGUGAAAUCCUGGAGCUCAACUCCAGAACUGCCUUUGAUACUGAAGAUCUUGAGUUCGGGAGAGGUGAGUGGAACUGCGAGUGUAGAGGUGAAAUUCGUAGAUAUUCGCAAGAACACCAGUGGCGAAGGCGGCUCACUGGCCCGAUACUGACGCUGAGGC